rnacentral:tRNA from 1 species
ACCGAACUAGCUCAGUUGGGAGAGCGUUAGAGCUCGUUAAACUAUAGAUCGAAAAGUCCGUGGUUUGAUUCCAGGUUCCGGCA